AAUUUUGGACAAUGGGGGGAACCCUGAUCCAGCCAUCCCGCGUGUGUGAUGAUUGCCUUCGGGUUGUAAAGCACUUUUGACAGGGAAGAAACAGCACCAGCUAAUACCCGGUGCCAAUGACGGUACCCGAGGAGGAAGCCCCGGCUAACUACGUGCCAGCAGCCGCGGUAAUACGUAGGGGGCAAGCGUUGUCCGGAAUUAUUGGGCGUAAAGGGUGCGUAGGCGGCUUUUUAAGUCAGAUGUGAAAGACCACGGCUUAACCGUGGGGUUGCAUUUGAAACUGGAAGGCUUGAGUAUCGGAGAGGGUAGUGGAAUUCCCAGUGUAGCGGUGAAAUGCGUAGAUAUUGGGAGGAACACCAGUGGCGAAGGCGACUACCUGGACGAAAACUGACGCUGAUGCACGAAAGCUAGGGGAGCAAACA
rnacentral:rRNA from 1 species